rnacentral:rRNA from 1 species
UGAAGCGGUAACAGCUCAAAUUUGAAAUCUGGGUCUUUCAGGCUCCGAGUUGUAAUCCUGUAGAAGAUGCUUUGGGUGCGGCCCCGGUCUAAGUUCCUUGGAACAGGACGUCAUAGAGGGUGAGAAUCCCGUAUGUGAUCGGUGGCUUGCGCCCGUGUAAAGCUCUUUCGACGAGUCGGGUUGUUUGGGAAUGCAGCUCUAAAUGGGUGGUAAAUUUCAUCUAAAGCUAAAUAUUGGCCAGAGACCGAUAGCGCACAAGUAGAGUGAUCGAAAGAUGAAAAGCACUUUGGAAAGAGAGUUAAACAGUACGUGAAAUUGUUGAAAGGGAAGCGCUUGCAACCAGACUUGCGCGGGGUUGAUCAUCCGGGGUUCUCCCCGGUGCACUCGGCCUCGCUCAGGCCAGCAUCGGUUUCGGUGGUUGGAUAAAGGCCUUGGGAAUGUGACUCCUCUCGGGGAGUGUUAUAGCCCUCGGUGCAAUGCAGCCUACCGGGACCGAGGACCGCGCUUCGGCUAGGAUGCUGGCGUAAUGGUUGUAAGCGACCCGUCUUGAAACACGGACCAAGGAGUCUAACAUCUAUGCGAGUGUUUGGGUGUCAAACCCAUACGCGUAAUGAAAGUGAACGGAGGUGAGAACCCUUAAGGGUGCAUCAUCGACCGAUCCUGAUGUCUUCGGAUGGAUUUGAGUAAGAGCAUAGCUGUUGGGACCCGAAAGAUGGUGAACUAUGCCUGAAUAGGGUGAAGCCAGAGGAAACUCUGGUGGAGGCUCGCAGCGGUUCUGACGUGCAAAUCGAUCGUCAAAUUU